CUAUAUCGGUUGGAGAGAAGAACAAAGUAUUGCUGAUAAAGGAGAGGAUGAGUCAAAGGGCGAAGUAAUUGCGAGCUUAACUAGAGUUUCACAAGCACAAUGCAGCAGUUUGUAAUUGACCAUAAGACUCGACAUCGACCAUCAACCAUCGACCACCGAAUAUCAGAACAAG